GCAGACACAUUCCAGCAAAUCAGCAGCAGACCCUCCCUCCCAGACCCUCCCACCUCCUGGACAGCAUCCAUUUUGAAGCUGCAUUCUUAGUGAGCUGUCCAGGAGGUGGGAGGGUCUGGGAGGGAGGGUCUGCUGCUGAUUGGCUGGAAUGUGUCUG